CCUACGGGAGGCAGCAGUGAGGAAUAUUGGACAAUGGGCGCAAGCCUGAUCCAGCCAUGCCGCGUGCAGGAAGAAGCAUCUAUGGUGUGUAAACUGCUUUUGUACAGGAAGAAACACUCCCUCGUGAGGGAGCUUGACGGUACUGUAAGAAUAAGGACCGGCUAACUCCGUGCCAGCAGCCGCGGUAAUACGGAGGGUCCGAGCGUUAUCCGGAAUCAUUGGGUUUAAAGGGUCCGUAGGCGGUUUAAUAAGUCAGUGGUGAAAUCUGGUCGCUCAACGAUCAAACGGCCAUUGAUACUGUUAGACUUGAAUUAUAAGGAAGUAACUAGAAUAUGUAGUGUAGCGGUGAAAUGCUUAGAUAUUACAUGGAAUACCAAUUGCGAAGGCAGGUUACUACUUAUGGAUUGACGCUGAUGGACGAAAGCGUGGGGAGCGAACAGGAUUAGAUACCCUGGUAGUCCACGCCGUAAACGAUGGAUACUAGCUGUUCGGAGNAUNUGNGUGUGUAGACGAAGUAGAUAAGUAUACCACCGUCGGGUAGGUACGGUUACGUCGAGAAGUAGAACGUACGAAGUAAGUAGUAGUACGUCGAGAGACGACGACGACGACGACGACGGAGGGAGGAGG
rnacentral:rRNA from 1 species